rnacentral:rRNA from 1 species
AUGGGUCCAGUCCCGCUUGACCUGACAACUGUUUCCCAGUGUUGGCCAGAGGCUCCUCUCAUGUUGCCAUCCUCAGGCGGACCCCCAGUUUUUGUCAUCCACAGGGAAAAUGCAGCACAUAGCGGCAUGGAUGCUCCAACAAGCUGUCCAGCCAACCGACAUUGGUUGAUGCUGAGAGUCCAGCGAACCAUAGAGCGCGUUUCGUCUAGAUGCAGUGCAGGCAAUAGGACGGCUGCAGCUGUAAAUGAAUCUGGCAAUAAAAAUCCAAGAUGUUAUAGAAACAUACUACUCUCUCCGCCCCAUAAUGUAAGACAUUUUUUUAGUGUCAAAAAACGUCUUACAUUUUGA